UACGAAGGGGGCUAGCGUUGUUCGGAAUUACUGGGCGUAAAGGGUGCGUAGGCGGCUCAUUCAGUCAGAUGUGAAAUUCCUGGGCUUAACCUGGGGGCUGCAUUUGAUACGUGUGGGCUUGAGUGGGGAAGAGGGUCGUGGAAUUCCCAGUGUAGAGGUGAAAUUCGUAGAUAUUGGGAAGAACACCGGUGGCGAAGGCGGCGACCUGGUCCUUGACUGACGCUGAGGCGCGAAAGCGUGGGGAGCAAACAGG
rnacentral:rRNA from 1 species